UGUCUCUUGGCGGGCAGCGGGGGCAGCGUGGGGGCCGGGGCGGCGGUGGGGGCCGGGGCGGCAGUGGGGGCCG
rnacentral:miRNA from 1 species